AGUCACCUCACUCUUUCUUCCACCUUCCGGCGUAGCAGAGAAACUCAAAAACCAAAUGAACGAGAAAAUGAAGAGAAAAAACGCAACUAACUCAAUUAACAGAAUGCCUUCAAAAACGGUUUCCGUUAGCAACUAACCCUCAAUUCCGUUGUUUCCGUCACCAUGAACUUAAGACAACGUCCCUUCGCCGCGCGCGGCGGUGCCGUCAACCAGCCACGGCCGCCGCCGUCUCCGAUGAACUCCGUUUACAACAUUAUACCGGUGCACGACCUCCUCACGGACCAUCCUUCCCUUCGGUAUCCGGAGGUGCGCGCCGCCGCCGCCGCCCUCCGAGCCGUUGGUGACCUCCCUAAGCACCAGUUCAUGGCGUGGGAACCGGGCAUGGACCUUCUGGAUUGGCUCCGGUUGCUGUUUGGGUUCCAAAUCGACAACGCGCGGAACCAGAGGGAGCAUUUGGUUCUCCACCUCGCGAACUCGCAGAUGCGUCUCGACCCGCCGCCGCUCAUCGUCGACGCCCUAGACGCCGGCGUCUUGCGGCGGUUCCGUCGGAAACUCCUCCAAAACUACACCGCGUGGUGCUCGUUUCUCGGCCUGAAAUCGCACGUGUUGCUCUCCAGCCGCCGAGACCCGACGGAUCUCCGCCGCGAGUUGCUGUACGUUUCACUGUACCUUCUGAUUUGGGGAGAAGCUGGUAACCUUCGUUUCACUCCCGAGUGUGUUUGCUAUAUCUAUCAUUUUAUGGCGAGAGAGCUUAAUUUUGUUGUAGAUGAGCACAUUGACCCUGAUACGGGUCGUCCCUUUAUGCCCACGGUUUCGGGUGAGUGUGGGUUUUUGAAGUCUGUGAUUAUGCCUAUUUGUAAUACUAUUAAGGUUGAAGCUGAUAGUAGUAGAAAUGGAAAGGCUCCGCACUCUGCAUGGAGGAAUUAUGAUGACAUUAAUGAGUACUUUUGGAGUAGGAGAUGUUUGAAGAGACUGGGAUGGCCUCUAAAUUUUGAGUGUAAUUUCUUUGGGACUACACCAAAGGAGAAGAGGGUAGGGAAGACCGGGUUCGUGGAGCAGAGGUCUUUUUGGAAUGUUUAUAAGAGUUUUGAUAGGCUCUGGGUCAUGCUCAUUUUGUUCUUCCAGGCUGCAAUUAUCGUUGCCUGGGAGGGUACCACUUAUCCCUGGGAAGCCUUGGAGAGAAGGGACACGCAGGUCAAAAUGUUGACUCUGUUUAUCACGUGGAGUGCUCUGAGGUUGCUUCAAUCGGUGCUUGAUGCUGGAACUCAAUAUAGCUUGGUUACUAGGGAGACCACUUGGCUUGGAGUGAGGAUGGCGCUGAAGAGCAUGGUUGCCAUAACGUGGACUGUUUUGUUUUCCGUCUUUUAUGGAAUGAUUUGGAUUGAGAAGGGUUCUAGCCCGACCUGGUCUCACAAGGCAAAUGAGAGGAUUUUUAUGUUUCUUAAAGUGGUCUUUUUCUUUUUAAUCCCAGAAUUGUUGGCAGUGGUUCUAUUUGUAGUGCCAUGGUUGCGGAAUUUCAUUGAGGAAUCUGACUGGAGCAUAGUGUACUUGUUAACAUGGUGGUUCCAUAGCCGGAUUUUUGUGGGGCGCGGUGUGAGGCAAGCACUUGUAGAUAAUGUAAAGUAUACUAUUUUCUGGAUAGCAGUACUGGCUUCAAAGUUUUCGUUCAGUUAUUUUCUUCAGAUCAAGCCUCUAGUUGCUCCAACAAAGGCUCUUUUGAAACCUCACAGCGUUCAUUAUAAAUGGCACGAGUUUUUCAGUAAUACCAACAGAAUAGCAGUUUUGUUGCUAUGGUUACCUGUUGUGCUGGUAUACUUCAUGGAUUUGCAAAUAUGGUAUUCAAUUUUCUCUGCCUUUUAUGGAGUGACAAUUGGUCUGUUCUCGCAUUUGGGUGAAAUUCGGAAUGUCUUACAACUCAGACUUAGAUUUCAGUUCUUUGCCAGUGCAAUGCAGUUCAAUCUGAUGCCAGAGGAGAAGCUACUAAGUCAGCAAGCGACACUGCUAAAGAAGUUUCGUGAUGCCAUCCACCGGCUGAAACUGCGAUAUGGACUUGGUCAGCCCUUCAAAAAGAUUGAAUCAAACCAAGUGGAUGCUACCAGGUUUGCCUUAAUAUGGAAUGAGAUUAUGAUAACUUUCAGGGAGGAAGAUAUCAUCAGUGAUCGAGAACUUGAGCUCUUGGAACUGCCACCAAAUUGCUGGAAUAUUAGGGUUAUUCGAUGGCCAUGUUCCCUUCUCUGUAACGAGCUACUGCUUGCUCUCAGUCAGGCAAAAGAGCUGGAAAAUGAGUCUGACCGGUCACUUUGGUUGAAAAUAUGCAAGAAUGAGUAUCGUCGGUGUGCUGUCAUUGAAGCAUAUGACAGCAUUAAAUAUUUGUUUCUUAUGGUUCUUAAACCUGAAAAAGAAGAGUACUUCAUAGUGACUAAAAUAUUCACAGUCAUAGAUGACUCCAUUCAGAUGGGGAGGUUAGCAGAAGCAUUCAAGAUGUCUCUGCUACCACAAAUACAUGCUAAACUGAGUGAAUUUGUUCAGCUUUUGAUUCAACCAGAGAGAGAUAUGAAUAAGGCUGUAUAUUUGUUGCAAGCUUUGUAUGAACUGUUUAUUCGAUACUUUCCAAAGAUGAAGAAGACCACCCGCCAGUUGAGUGAGGAGGGCCUGGCACCACAAAGUUCAAGAACUGAUGAAGGACUGCUCUUUGAGAAAGCUAUAGAGUUUCCUGAUGCUGAAGAUGCAGGCUUUACUAGGCAGCUCAGACGAUUGCAUACAAUUCUUACUUCAAGAGACUCAAUGUACAAUGUCCCAUUGAAUCUUGAGGCACGGCGGCGGAUUGCUUUCUUUACCAAUUCUUUGUUUAUGAACAUGCCUCGCGCCCCCCCUGUUGAAAAAAUGAUGGCUUUCAGUGUCUUGACCCCUUAUUAUGAUGAGGAAGUUUUUUACGGCAAAGAGGCUCUCCGAAAGGAGAAUGAGGAUGGUAUUACUACUUUGUUUUAUUUGCAGAAGAUUUAUGAAGAUGAAUGGAAAAAUUUUAUGGAAAGGAUGCAUAGAGAGGGCUUAGAAAAUGAGGAUGAUCUCUGGACAACAAAAGCCCGAGACCUCCGCCUUUGGGUAUCUUACAGAGGUCAAACACUAUCUCGCACAGUGAGGGGGAUGAUGUAUUAUUACAGGGCACUUAAGAUGCUUGCCUUUCUUGAUUCAGCAUCUGAGAUGGACAUAAGACAGGAAUCAGAACAUAUUGUUUCACAUGGUUCAACAAAUCAAAAUAGUGGUUUGAAUGGCCUACACUCAGAUGGGCCUCCAUCUUUACGUAGAAAUCUCAGAAGGGCAGAUAGCAGUGUCACCCUGUUAUUCAAGGGAGAUGAAUAUGGGAGUGCACUGAUGAAGUUUUCAUAUGUGGUGGCAUGCCAGAUGUAUGGACGCCACAAGGCAGAAAAGAACCCCCGUGCUGAAGACAUAUUAUAUUUGAUGAAAAACAAUGAGGCUCUUCGAGUGGCAUAUGUUGAUGAGGUUUCUUUGGGGAGGGAGGAGACUGAAUAUUACUCUGUUCUCGUGAAGUUUGAUCAGCAGUCGCAGAAUGAGGUUGAGAUUUAUCGGAUCAGGUUACCCGGUCCUUUAAAACUCGGAGAAGGGAAACCAGAGAAUCAGAAUCAUGCCAUAAUCUUUACACGGGGUGAUGCAGUUCAGACCAUUGAUAUGAAUCAAGACAAUUAUUUUGAGGAGGCUCUCAAAAUGCGAAAUCUAUUGGAGGAGUUUAAUGCCUACUAUGGUAUUAAGAAACCAACCAUUUUGGGGGUCCGAGAGAAUGUCUUCACAGGAUCUGUUUCCUCACUUGCAUGGUUCAUGUCUGCUCAAGAGACAAGUUUUGUGACGCUUGGUCAGCGUGUUUUGGCAAACCCUUUGAAAGUACGAAUGCACUACGGUCAUCCAGAUGUGUUUGACAGAUUCUGGUUUGUGACUCGGGGUGGAGUCAGCAAGGCCUCUAGAGUGAUCAAUAUUAGUGAAGAUAUUUUUGCUGGUUUCAAUUGUACCCUGCGAGGUGGCAAUGUUACACAUCAUGAAUAUAUACAGGUAGGCAAAGGAAGAGAUGUUGGCUUGAAUCAGAUAUCCAUGUUUGAGGCCAAGGUUUCUAGUGGCAAUGGUGAGCAGGUCUUGAGCAGAGAUGUGUACCGGCUAGGCCAUAGAUUAGACUUCUUUCGAAUGCUUUCAGUGUUCUACACAACCAUAGGAUUUUAUUUUAACUCCAUGGUGGUUGUUCUGACAGUCUAUGCCUUCCUUUGGGGCCGCCUUUAUAUGGCUCUCAGUGGAAUUGAAGAUGAAGCUAUGAAUAAUGCUACUGACAAUAAAGCUCUUGGAGCAGUCCUAAAUCAGCAGUUUGCAAUCCAGGUUGGCCUCUUCACUGCACUCCCAAUGGUUGUCGAAAACUCUCUUGAGCAUGGGUUUCUUCCAGCUGUUUGGGACUUCUUGACAAUGCAGUUGGAGCUUGCAUCACUAUUCUACACAUUCUCUUUGGGAACUCGGACCCAUUUCUUUGGCCGGACUAUACUUCAUGGUGGUGCUAAGUAUCGAGCUACUGGUCGUGGUUUUGUGGUGGAGCACAAGAGUUUUGCUGAGAACUAUCGAUUAUAUGCUCGAAGCCAUUUUGUAAAGGGUAUUGAACUUGGGGUUAUUUUAAUUGUGUAUGCUUCUCAUAGUCCCUUGGCUAAGGAUACUUUUGUGUACAUAGCUAUGACAAUCUCAAGUUGGUUUCUUGUAGUUUCAUGGAUAAUGUCUCCUUUUGUCUUCAAUCCCUCUGGGUUUGAUUGGUUGAAGACUGUAUAUGACUUUGAUGAUUUUAUGAAUUGGAUAUGGUAUCCAGGUGGGCCCUUUAAAAAGGCUGAGUAUAGCUGGGAAACAUGGUGGUAUGAGGAGCAAGACCAUUUAAAAACAACUGGCAUAUGGGGAAAGCUGUUGGAAAUCAUUUUAGACCUUCGAUUCUUCUUCUUUCAAUAUGGCAUUGUUUAUCAGCUGGGCAUUGCAGGUGGAGAUACUAGUAUAGUUGUUUACUUGCUGUCCUGGAUAUUCAUGGUUGUGAUUGUUGGGAUUUAUAUUAUUAUAGCAUACGCUCAGGAUAAAUAUGCUACAAAGGAGCACAUAUAUUAUCGAUUAGUUCAGCUUCUUGUGAUUAUAGUCACAGUUCUUGUGGUUGUCCUCUUACUGGAGUUCACUGGUUUCAAAUUUAUUGAUCUUCUAACAAGCCUGUUGGCAUUCAUUCCCACAGGCUGGGGGAUGAUUUUAAUAGCCCAGGUGCUUAGGCCAUUUCUGCAGUCAACUAAAGUGUGGGAGACUGUAGUUUCUUUGGCUCGGCUAUAUGAUUUGCUCUUUGGGGUGAUUGUCAUGGCUCCGGUGGCAAUGCUCUCAUGGUUACCUGGAUUUCAGUCAAUGCAAACUAGGCUUCUCUUUAAUGAAGCUUUCAGCAGGGGUCUCCAGAUAUCUCGAAUAGUUAGUGGCAAGAAGUCUGUUUAAGAUGUGAUUGAAGGUCUCGCCCAAAACAAAAGGGCUAUGCCUAGCUGCUGAGAGAUGCGUUUCUGUAUUUUCCGUUGUAGUAUUUGUAUGAUGGUGGACUAGUACAAGAUACUAGUUUAAAAUACAAGGUUGAGGGACGCUAGUGGCAAAUCAAAGCUCUCUGUAUUACCAUGAUGAAUGGACGCCUACAAAUAAAUCCAGGUUAUGCAAUGUCGAAAACACAAAGGUUUACCUCUCUUUCCACCAUAGUGUGGCUCCCAUUGAGACAAUCUAUCAAGGAAGGAGUCAGAUUGUGAUCGUCUUCUACAUCAGGACAUUAUCACGCUUCCCAUUUCUGCUUUGUUAUUUUCAUGCCACUCAAGUUGUGAAUCUCUGUACUUUAGUAUUGGAGUAUCAGAUGUUUUACCUAUGUCAGUCAUUGAUGACAAUCGGCUUGCUGUACAUCUUGUUCAUAUCUAGUGCAACCUAUUCUAACCAAAUACCUCAUUGCCACUGAAUCGACGAUUUUUUAGGCUUAACAUUGUUCGUCAGCAUCUCGCAUCUUUUGUUCAACAGCUGUCAAGAAUCCCGCACGCACACAUGAGUAUUACUAUAUAAAAUUUGCCUGAUUCCUGAUUUUUAAUUUGAAUUUAACAAUGGACUACGUAAUGGGAUAACCUAAAUAUUUGAAAGUU